GAGUGGUGACUGACGGGUAUGGGUACGUUGGAUCCCUGCUUGGGCACCGACAACGCACCUCGCCCGUCUCUUCAGAUGUUGGCAUAGGCGCCCUGAGCCUCGGCCGAAUGAUGUUUUCCCGUGCUAUAUACCCAACACGAGGGUACCGAAUUUGUUCAAUUGCAACUGUUCGGUUCUUGCUGCCGUCCCUUUUGAUUUUUGCAUGAAGUGAACGCUGAAGCGCUGAUUGUGUUCCACUCUCCUUGCGCGCGCCCGUGCUUUGGUUGUUGGGCCAUGAUCCUUGCUCGAUCUCUUGGUUGCGUAAUACCUUGUGGGCACGAGGCACUAGUCUCUAUUCGCCCCUUGUUGAGCGCUUAACGCUACGCGCGAACGACAGCUGUGGUCGUCUUGGCUAGGUCUUUAUGGCUUGGCACAUACGGUCCCAACGUCGAUGAGGAAUGCUACCUGGUUGAUCCUGCCAGUAGUCAUAUGCUUGUCUCAAAGAUUAA
rnacentral:misc_RNA from 1 species